GAUGAACGCUGGCGGCGUGCUUAAUACAUGCAAGUCGAACGAAUGGAUGUCUAGCUUGCUAGACUGAAGUUAGUGGCGAACGGGUGAGUAAUACAUAGGCAAUCUGCCCUGAAGUGUGGGAUAGCUAUUGGAAACGAUAAUUAAUACCGCAUAGGUAGUAAGAAGGCAUCUUCCUACUAUUAAAGAUGCGUCUGCAUCGCUGCAGGAUGAGCUUAUGGUGUAUUAGCUAGUUGGUGAGAUAAAAGCCCACCAAGGCUAUGAUACAUAGCUGGUCUGAGAGGAUGAACAGCCACAUUGGGACUGAGACACGGCCCAGACUCCUACGGGAGGCAGCAGUAAGGAAUUUUCGGCAAUGGGGGCAACCCUGACCGAGCAACGCCGCGUGAGUGAUGAAGGUCUUCGGAUCGUAAAACUCUGUUGUAAAGGAAGAAUGUCAUAUAUAGGAAAU
rnacentral:rRNA from 1 species